rnacentral:rRNA from 1 species
GAGCUGUGGAUAGGGGUGAAAGGCUAAACAAAUCCGGAAAUAGCUGGUUCUCCCCGAAAACUAUUUAGGUAGUGCGUCGUACGGACACUUGCGGGGGUAGAGCACUGUAAUCGUUGGGGGGUCGAUUGCGAUCUACCCCGCCGAUAGCAAACUACCGAUACCGCAAAGUAGAUAUACGGCAGACAGACAUCGGGUGCUAACGUCCGGUGUCAAGAGGGAAACAACCCAGACCGCCAGCUAAGGUCCCAAAUGCAUGGCUAAGUGGCAAAACGAAGGUGGGAAGGCAUAGACAGCUAGGAGGUUGGCUUAGAAGCAGCCAUCCUUUAAAGAAAGCGUAUAGCUCACUAGUCGAGUCGUCCUGCGCGGAAGAUGUAACGGGGCUCAAGCCAUGAACCGAAGCUGCGGAUGUGUCUUUGACACGUGGUAGGGGAGGCGUUCCGUAAGCCUGCGAAGGUGUCUCGUAAGGGAUGCUGGAGGUAUCGGAAGUGCGAAUGCUGACAUGAGUAGCGAUAAA